UCAUCCCCCUCCCAGCAGGCGGGUCAUAUGGUGGGGUGGUGGUCAGUCCCUUCCCAGUGGGUGGAUCACACAGUGAGGUAGUAUUCAGACAGCUGGUCAGCCCUUCUUCCUCUCUCUCUCUCUCUGCUUGCUGGUCUCUAUUUCUACAGCUUCUGUUCCUUCGUUGAUUCCUCUGCUUGCCUCCUUUUACCUUCUUACCUCUUUUCCCCUUCCUCUUCCUCCUUUCUCUACCCCACAGAAGCCUCCUUUAUUCCUAUCGCCUUCUCUCUCUUUCUCUCUUGCCCCACAAACGCCUCCCUUAUUGCUAUCAUCCUCCUCCUCUCUCUCUCCCUCGGCUUUCUCCACAGAAGCCUCCCUUAUUCCGAUUGCCAUUUCUCUCUCUGUCCCUCGCUUUACUUUUUCUUUCCCGCCAAAAGCUCUCCCUUUACAAACCCCUUCUCCUCUUCUCCCCGCCUCUUCCUCUUUUCUUCCGGGCGCGCCGCCUUCUGGGGCUCUGGUAGAGCUCCAGUCUCAGUCGCUGACCUAGUCUAACCACCCGCCAGCCAGCUGACCGUUGCAGGCAGCGCUGAUCAGGUGGAGCCGCAAGAACUGAUCCCUGGGCCUCAGCACAGCGCAGGCAGUGCCCCAGCUUCAGCUGACUCCCCCCAAGGCCUGUGUGCUGCUGACGGCGACAGCUGAGACCGACGGAGCCCCGGAUCCGCGCGUUGCUUAGGCAGAGCUCCAGCUGGUGAACCCAGUCAGCGCCGAUCAGCUGGAGCCGCGCUGGCUGAUCCGCUUCAGCUCAUCUCUCCGGUACAGAUGUCACUUAACUUGGUUGAUGCAGAUUUCUUUUUGGAAGAGAAUAAAUUCAAGCAAUAUUGUACAGAAUUUCUCCAAUAUUCACAAAGAAUUGGGGAUGAUUGGCAAUGGAAAAGCAUAAAGGACUCUACUGAUGGCUACAUGAGUAAAACACAUUUUCAGCUGAAAAAUAGAAGUAUCUCUUCAGGCAGAGUGGACAUAGUAAAUGAUGAACCAACAUUUUUGUCUGUUGAGGAAGGUCUGGAUGAUUCUCAAGAGGCUGGAGUCUCUGAAGUAUCAGAGGUGAUUCGUUAUGAAUAUCAUGUUCUAUAUUCCUGCAGUUAUCAAGCUCCUGUUCUCUAUUUUAGGGCAAGUUUUUUAGAUGGAAAAUCUUUAACAUUAGAUGAAAUAUGGAAAAGUGUGCAUGAAUGCUAUAUGGAUCGCCUUUGGCAAGGACCAUGGGAUACAAUUACGCAACAGGAACAUCCACUACUUGGUCAGCCUUUCUUUGUAAUUCAUCCCUGCCGGACAAAUGAAUUUAUGUCUUCAAUAUUAUCCAAUUUACAUAAACAAAAAAACUAUCGGAGAAAACAGGUCACAAAAUAAGGCAUACAAAUUACAUUAUUUCAUGGUUGAGUGUUGUUGGCCCAGUUGUGGGUCUCCAUCUGCCUUUGAGUUACGCAAAAACCAAUUUGGAAGAGACUACAGGUGCUCAUUAAAGAGAUUAUGGACAGAAAAAUAUGGAUUUGGAGUAAAAUAUAAAGUGUCACAAGCCUUAUAAUUUAACUUAUACUUGGAGCUAAGGAUAAUACAACAAUGGAGACCAUGUUGCGUUGAUAUAGUGUGAUGAACAUCCAGUUUACAAAGAAGUUUUCAUUUCAAUCUAAAUACAUGAUGCCACUGGGAUACAAA